UUUAUUCCUCUUGCUGUUACCUGUUUCCACAAACUAACAUGUGUCAUCAGUUCAUCCCUGUUAUUUGCCAUAGGCGCAGACCAUGGCAUUCUCCCAGAAACGUACGCAACUUGGACAACCUACGCUCUCUGAAUGCGGCCUCUGCAGGUUCCGUCUCAUUCUCAGUCGGACUUUGGAACUGCCAAUCUGCUGUCAACAAGGCAGAUUUCAUUUCUGCAUUUGCAACCCACUCCAAUCUCAGUGUGCUGGCUCUGACUGAGACCUGGAUCCAUGCUGAGAACACUGCCACACCCGCUGCCCUGGCCUCUGACUUCAACUUCUCCCAUACCUCACGCCCCAACAGACGAGGGGGUGGUACAGGUCAACUGGGGAAGUUCAUUGAUGAAUUUGACACGCUACUGUCCACCAUCCCAGAUGAUGGAACUCCUCUUCUGGUCCUUGGUGAUUUCAACAUUCAUCUAGACAAGCCACAUGCAGCUGACUUUCUUGCUCUCCUUCCCACAUUCGACCUCAAGCAGUUCACCACACCAGCAACCCACAAAGCCGAACAACCUCCUGGACACCAAGCAGUUUGGCUUCAAGAGCAACCACUCCACGGAGACUGCUCUGCUUUCCGUCACUGAAGCCUUACAACUAGCAAGAGCAACCUCUAGAUCAUCUGUCCUCAUCCUACUUGACCUCUCUGCUGAUUUCGACACUGUGAACCAUCAGAUCCUCCUGUCAACUCUCUCCAGCCUGGGCAUCACUGGAACGGUUCUGCGCUGGGUGGAAUCCUAUCUCUCUGACAGAUCCUUCAAGGUAUCAUGGAGGGGAGGUAUUUCUGAAACUCAACAACUCACAACUGGUGUUCCACAGGGCCUGACGAUCCAUCCGUCUCUGCACGCAUCUCUGCUUGCCUUUCGGACAUCUCGGUCUGGAUGAAGGAAAACCAUCUUAAACUUAACCUGGCAAAAUCUGAGCUUCUCGUCAUCCCAGCCUGUCCCUCAAUCAACCACAACCUCACUGUACAGCUCGGCUCACUCACACUCAUGCCAACCAGGACGGCCAGGAACCUUGGGGUGAUUCUUGAUGACGGCUUAACCUUGGCAGACCAUAUCUCAGCAACUGCAAGGUCCUGUAGGUUCAUCCUUUACAACAUCGAGAAAAUCCGACCCUACAUCACCAAACAGGCUACACAGAUUCUAGUCCAGGCUUUUGUUAUCUCUAAACUGGACUACUGCAACUCACUGCUUUCAGGCCUCCCAGCCAGCUCCAUCAAACCCCUUGAGAUGAUUCAGAAUGCUGCAGCGUGCCUCGUCUUCAACCAGUCCAAGAGAACCCAUGUCACACCCCUCUUCAUCUCCCUCCACUGGCUUCCUGUAGCUGCCCGCAUCAAGCUCAAGGCCUUGAUGCUCACCUACAAGACCUUGUCAGGAACAGCACCCUCCUACCUCAACUCUCUCCUGAAGGCCUACAUUCCCUCUCGCAAUCUGCGAUCGAUUAGCGACCGACGUUUAGCAGUUCCAACUCAGCGUGGUGCAAGGUCCCUUUCCAGAACCUUCACACUAACUGUUCCUCAGUGGUGGAAUGCACUUCCAAUCUGAAUCCGGACUGCGGAAUCUCUCACCAUCUUCAAAAAACAGCUAAAGACCCACCUCUUCUAUGAACACCUAACCAACUCACAAUAAUAAAAAAUAAAUAAAUAAAUAAAAAAAUGCACUUACACCUCUACUCUGCACUUUGCUUCUUCUGGAAUUCAAUUAAUAGAUCUUGUAUGGUAGCACUUCUUGUAUCGUUCUCUGCUUGAUAUCGCUUUGCUUGUAUCUUUCUCAUUUGUAAGUCGCUUUGGAUAAAAGCAUCUGCUAAGUGAAUAAAUGUAAAUAUAAAUGUAAGAAGGACGAGAGCAUUGGAGCAGUCAUGCUGCAUGUGGGGGCAAAUGACAUCAGGCUGCGGCAGAUGGAAGUACUGAAGAGGGACUUUGGCAGCCUGUUUGAGACGGUACGAGGCAGAUCGCCCACCACAAAGAUCAAAGUCUCUGGACCUCUCCCCAAAUACAGACGUGGAGCUGAAAGGUUUAGUAGACUUUUCGCUUUGUAUGACUGGUUAAUGACUGCUCUUUGUCAAUAAUUGGAAUCUGUUCUGGGAGGUUCAGGUUCAGGUUGUUCCAUGCUGAUGACCUGCACCCCAGCAGCCUCGGAGUGGAACUCCUGUCAGACAACAUCUCCAAGACGCUACACACCAUGUGACUACCUGCCAUAAGUACAACUUCCAACAAUAACAACACUUAUAAUAAUCAAUGUUCAAUUAAUAGUUCAGCACUUGUAAUACAUUCUAUAGAGACUGUGUCUGUUCCCCGAGCUAAAAAAUACAUAGAAAAUUUCAGAAAUUUUUUUAGCAACCUAACUAACAUUAGCACCUUUGAUCUGAAGCUAGGACUAUUAAAUAUUAGCAUAUCUCUUACGACUAAGGCACAUAUUGUUAACGAAAUCAUUACUGAUCAGGAAUUUAACAAAGUGUUUAACGGAAACUUGGAUUAAACCAAACGAGUACAUAGCAUUAAAUGAAGCCAGUCCUCCUGGAUACAAUUAUAUACAUCAUCCUCAUUUAACUGGUAGAGGUGUUGCACUCAUUCAUAGUCAAAAUCUAGGCGUCACACAAAAACCUAGUCAUAAAUUCAACUUCAAGUUGAAAAAAAAUGUGACAACCCCAGGACUAAACAUUUCACCGACUGGAAACAUUCACACACUAAUUAAUUCAUUAAUAAUACCAGUAUAACAUAUGUAGCCAUAAAAAACAAAUAAAUUCCUCAAAUUAUUAUUUGGAGCCAUAUACUGAAGUCCUUAGUGAAUUUGCAGAUUUUAUCUAAAACCUGGUUGUUUCUCUAGAUAAAGCAUUAACCGUUGAUGAUUUUAAUAUUCAUUUUAAUAACCCGGAAGACCAUCUGAGAACAGCGGUUGUGUCCAUCAGAACGUAAUCAAUCAGAAUGUAAUAGGACCCACUCAUAAUAGUGGUCACACUCUUGACCUGAUACUAACAUAUGGAUUAAAUAUAGAAAAUAUUGUAAUAUUUCCUCGGUCUGAAGUUGUCUCAGAUCAUUAUCUUAUCUCGUUCAUAAUACGUAUUGAUCAUAAUAUUUUCACCUAAUACUAAGAUCAUAAUAUUUGCACCUCGCCUCGCUAAACGCGCAAAACGUACUUUCACAUCAGCUACCGCACAGAGCUUCAUCAAUAACCUUCCGGAGACAACAAUAUACUUUCUGAAUUCUAUCUCGCUCAAACUUUUUUCUCUUUUCUUUUUUAAAAAGGGAUACAAAAGUCAAGAGAUUUUGAGAAAAGAUAGAGAGGAAAUUAAGCGUCUUUUUGUUUCGUUACACAAAUGACCGACAUGCAGUCUCGUUGAAGAUAAUAAGGCUGAUGUCAUGGUUCACAGGUGCCAAAUAUAUAUAUAUAUAAAUCAUUUGCAUUUACAUUCAUUCAUUUAGCAGAUGCUUUUGUCCAAACCGACUUACAAAUGAGAAAAUACAAGCAAAGUGAUGUAUCAAGCUGAGAACAAUACAAGUUGUGCUACCAUAUAAGAUCCAUUAAUUGCGUUCCAGAAGGUCUUGUAGGUGAGCAUCAAGGCCUUGAAUUUGAUGUGGGUGGAGGGAGAUGAAGAGGGGGUGUGACAUGGGUUCUCUUGGGUUGGUUGAAGAGGAGGCGUGCUGCUGUAUUCUGAAUCAUUUGAAGUGGUUUAAUGGAGCUGGCUGGGAGGCCCGAGAGAAGUGAGUUGCAAUAGUCCAGUUUUGAGAUAACAAGAGCCUGGACUAGUGUAGCCUGUUCGGUGAGGUAGGGUCUGAUUUUCUGAUGUUGUACAGAAUGAACCUACAGGACCAUGCAGUUGUUGAGAUGUGGUCUGUAAAGGUCAAACUGUCAUCAAGAAUCACCGCAAGGUUCCAGACCAUCCUGGUUGCCUUGAGUGUGGUUGAGCCGAGCUGUACAGUGAGAUUGUGGUUGAUUGAGGGACAGGCUGGGAUGAAGAGAAGCUCAGAUUUUGCCAGGUUGAGCUUAAGGUGGUGUUCCCUCAUCCAGACCAAGAUGUACGACAGGCAAGCAGAGAUACGUACAGAGACGGAUGGAUCAUCAGGCCAGAACGACAAACAGAGCUGGGUGUCGGUAGCAUAGCAGUGGUAUGAGAAGCCAUGAGACAAUCACCUGCCCCAGAGAUGUUGUGUAGAUAGAAAACAGCAGUGGACCCAGAACUGACCGCUGUGGAAUGCCAGUUGUGAGUUGCUGAGUUUCAGAAAAAUAUCACACAACGUGCUUAAUUGCCACGUCACCUGAGUUUCAGAAAAAUAUCACGCAACGUGCUUAAUUGCCACGUCACCUGAUCAUGGCAGGUCUAUAAAUAGGCAUGAUGUUACACAAGCUUCAGAUGCUGGUCGCGUGUGAGGGCGCUCCCUUAGUGUUAUGCUAAACGCAAUGUGGAGUUCCCUUUGAAAGGGAACACAUGUUUCCCCAUUCAGAUGUUUGAUGUGAAGUUCUUGAUCUGUAUCUGCAUAGUUUUCAUGCACAGUGCUGCUGCCACAUGAUUGGCAUAGCUGCACAAAUGAGCAGCUGUACAGGUGGUCCUAUUAAAAGUGGACAGUGUAUAGGUUUACAUUAACUGUGGAAUUAUACAUACUAAAUAUAUUAAAUGAUAACUGAUGUUAUUUUGUAUACUAUGCUUGUUGACGGUU